UACCGAGGUUUUCCUCGGCAGUUUACUGCAGCCGGUUUCAAAUUCCCCGGCAGUUAACUGCUGAGGGGAAA
rnacentral:pre_miRNA from 1 species